UACCAUAUAUGAAGACAUACAAUGGACAACACCCACCUCUGUUGAGCCAUGACGGAAGGGGCUUUGCCACGGCAGGUUGGAGCAGGUCGGACCAGGCUUAGCAGGGAGAUCAUGACAGGUUGGACUCACCAAGCUCCUCAGCCACAGAUUCUCCUUUUAUAAAAUAAAGAUGAACAAAAGCCGAGUCCACACAUACCACUGAACUGCUCUACAGCCCUUUCAAAUACACCAUAGGAUCCAUCUCAAUGACUACAAGAAGCUGGAUAUCGAGAAGCUUUUUGAGAUACCUCAGCUUUGAGCCAUGUAGAAACAGGAAGGAAAUAGAAACCCCAGGCCUACUGAAGUUGAUGUGGGAACAGGAAAGUUUGGGCUGCUGGUCACUCUAGACCUUUCUUAGCUCUCUGGGAAGAAAGGAGGACAAGAAGAGAAGCAAAUUAGCAAGAUAGCAUGCCCACCAUGUUACGCCUGUGUG